AAGUCCUAGACGACCCUCACCAUCAUCUGCUAGGCUUGCUUGAUGACACCUAGGGGUGUCUCCUGUGAUGAGCAGCUGUCUGGGCAGCCGGGGACCCCUCUCAAGUGCCUCACCUUCCUGCUGGCUAGCCGACCUUAGGGAAGAGGAGUCGGCGUCUCUCCCACCGAAGAUGCCCCCGAGGGCCUCUAAGCGUGAAGGAUGAGGGCUCAGACAGCAGUGCCUCUGUUGAGACUCAGGCCACAGUUUCUUUGAGAAGCCUCCUGGUGAGGGUAGGGGCUGUGGAACCCACAGGUAGGGUCCAUUGUGGGUGUGGAUGUACCACGAAGGUGCAGUCGAUGGACCCGAUGACCACAGGAAUAAAGUGUGCCACUGCUGCCUGCC
rnacentral:lncRNA from 1 species